rnacentral:rRNA from 1 species
CGGUGGAUGAUGUGGUUUAAUUCGAUGCAACGCGAAAACCUUACCCACCUUUGACAUGUACGGAACUCGCCAGAGAUGGCUUGGUGCCCGAAAGGGAAUCAGAACACAGGUGCUGCAUGGCUGUCGUCAGCUCGUGUCGUGAGAUGUUGGGUUAAGUCCCGCAACGAGCGCAACCCUUAUCAUUAGUUGCUACGCAAGGGCACUCUAAUGAGACUGCCGGUGACAAACCGGAGGAAGGUGGGGAUGACGUCAAGUCCUCAUGGCCCUUAUGGGUAGGGCUUCACACGUCAUACAAUGGUCGGUACAGAGGGUUGCCAAGCCGCGAGGCGGAGCCAAUCCCACAAAGCCGAUCGUAGUCCGGAUUGUUCUCUGCAACUCGAGAGCAUGAAGUCGGAAUCGCUAGUAAUCGCAGGUCAGCAUACUGCGGUGAAUACGUUCCCGGGUCUU